UAAACAUGAUGAAUGAAUUAAUUGAUAAACAUAUAUAAUCUUUUUUAGCAAAGUUAAAUUCCAAGUUAGGUUUCACUCAUCGCAGUUUCUCACAUCCAGAGCCUUACUUGGGAUGGAAUACGGCCUCUCGUGCUCCAGAUAGUCUGAUGUGGUGAUGUUCAGAAACAUGAAGAAUUAAGAAUUAGCUACAGCCAACAUUAACUAAUUUGGUAAAUAUUAAGCUAUACCUUCAGUAUGUUACGGGCAUUUAGUCGCAGUUGUCACCGCGCAUUAUUGUGUGGGACACACCGAUAUGGCACUCCAAGUGUGGGGGCAGGAAGACAGCUCCAUGGUGAGGUGCAAAGGCAUAGAAGCCUUGUACAGAUUAAGGGGACAGAGGCAGGUGAAUUCCUCCAAGGUCUCAUCACAAAUGACAUAAAUCAUCUCCAAGAGGGAGCCACAAGUAUGUAUGCUAUGCUGCUAAAUACUCAGGGAAGAGUACUCUUUGAUACCAUAGUGUACCGAAAAGAUCAGAAAAAUUUCCUCGUUGAAUGUGAUGCAGAUAAAGUAACCCAGUUAGUACGACACUUGAGAAUGUACAGAGUGCGAAGGAAAAUUGAAAUUGAUUCCAUUGAUAAUGACUAUCAUGUUUGGUGUAUAUUUAAUCCAAACUUAGAUUUUAAGGACAUUACUCAAGUGGACAUGGAAUCACUGUACUUAAAUCCUAGAGCAGAAUCUGAAGCUCUGCUGGAGUUGAAAGAUAAAGUAGAUGUCAUAGUAACAAGAGAUCCAAGAAUGAAAUAUCUGGGUCAUAGAUUGAUCAUCCCAUGUAAUAGAACUAUUAAGGAUAUUGUUCCUGACAUUUUCUAUAGCGAGGCAAAAUUCAAAACUCUUCGUUACAGAUUAGGAGUGGGUGAAGGUAUGACAGAACUUCCAUCUACCAAAUGUCUUCCUUUGGAAGCCAACUGUGACUAUCUUCAUGGUGUUAGUUUCCACAAAGGUUGUUAUAUAGGACAAGAGCUAACUGCUAGAACCUUUCACACAGGUUUAGUGCGGAAAAGAUAUAUGCCUCUAAUAUUCUCAGGAGAUAGUACUGAUGUGCCUUUUGAUGCAAGUGUUGUGAAUGAUAAGGGAAAAUCUGUUGGUAAAGUACGAGGUUGUGCAGGUCAAUAUGGCAUUGGGCUUUUAAGAAUUAACGAGUGUUUGGCUGCUAAGUCAUUAAUGGUUAAUGAUGUUCAAGUUCAGACAUUUAGGCCAGCUUGGUGGCCAUUUGAAGCCUCCAAAGAAAAGAUGAGCUAAAUCCUCAAGUGACUGUAUAACCAAAAUAUAUUAAGGUUGCUAUAUAGGAUGGCUAAAACUUUUCACAUGGGUGUAUAGCAUAAAGUUAUUUGUCUCUAAUAUUCUCAGGUAAUAUUAGGGUCUUUAUCACAUGAGUAUUGUUGUAGUCAAAGAAGUUGUGGUAAAAUUAAGCUUUUGUUGAGUUGAGGAAAUAUGUUAUACAAGGAUAAAAGUUUGGUUUAUAGUUAGAAACCUUGGUGAUCCCUAAGGUACUGAUGAAACAAAUAAAUUAGCUCUUAUCAGGUACUGUACUAUGAAAUUUACCAUAAUGCAUGCUUAUCUCUUUCCAAUGUUGAAAUUAAGAGUUAUGAAAAUCUAGCUUUAUGCUUUUGUUGUAGCAUUGUAAGUGACAUAACCAAAAAUAUUGAAUGCUGAAAUAACACAAGAUUUAAUCAAAUGUCCUGUAUAUACUAAUUUUAUUGUUGUCAGUCUUGCUUAUCUAUGCAGCUCAGGACUGAUGUUUGUAAUAAAUGAUUCUGCAGAUUAUUGUAUGUACGAAAUCUGAGAUGACAAGCUCUGAAUAGGCAGUUGAAGAAGCCUAUUUAUUAAAAGUGAAAUUGCCAAAAUGACUCUAUCAUAAAUUUCUGGCCACAUUUAUGGUUAUGUGCACAGUAUGGUAUUCACAACUCCUGUUUGUAUAUUUCAAAGCAAUAUAUGUCACCUGAUUUCAGCCUUUUCUGUACAGUAUAGUGUUGAAAAGCCAACAUUGACAUUUGAAGUGUGCUUAACACUAUGGC
rnacentral:misc_RNA from 1 species